CCUACGGGCGGCAGCAGUGGGGAAUAUUGCACAAUGGGGGAAACCCUGAUGCAGCGACGCCGCGUGAGUGAAGAAGUAAUUCGUUAUGUAAAGCUCUAUCAGCAGGGAAGAAAAUGACGGUACCUGAGUAAGAAGCCCCGGCUAACUAAGUGCCAGCAGCCGCGGUAAUACGUAGGGGGCAAGCGUUAUCCGGAUUUACUGGGUGGAAAGGGAGCGUAGACGGCAGUGCAAGUCUGGAGGGAAAGGCGGGGGCUCAACCCCCGGACUGCUCUGGAAACUGUACGGCUGGAGUGCAGGAGAGGUAAGUGGAAUUCCUAGUGUAGCGGUGAAAUGCGUAGAUAUUAGGAGGAACACCAGUGGCGAAGGCGGCUUACUGGACUGUAACUGACGUUGAGGCUCGAAAGCGUGGGGAGCAAACAGGAUUAGACACCCCAGUAGUC
rnacentral:rRNA from 1 species